AGAAUGAAACUUUGCACAAAUAUUGUAAUGGUACCGUUCCUUUCUACUAAAAUAAUCGAAAUUUCAUCUUAACAUUUCAAGGCCCGAGAUACAAGCCUUUGUGAAAAUCUCCGCUAUGACUAAAUUAAUACCAUAUUUAUAUCAGCCAAUCUGUAAACGAUUUUUUCCUAACAAUAACAACAACCUGGAUGUAAAGCUAGGAAAAUCGGUUGAAUUAUUCUCUAGACCCCAUACAGGGGUUUUUUAAAUUUGUUUUUGACUAUAUACCUAACCUGUUCUUUGCCAUAAUGAUAUAUUACACUGAAUAUGAAGACCUUUGUGCAGCCCCAUAGCUCUCAUUUAACAUAAUAUAAUUUGUUUUGUGUCAAUGUUAUCCAAUAAAUAUUAUAUGGUUUACUUGGUCUCGCUCCAUAAAGAGCUAAUUUUAUUUCAGUUCAGCUGCUAAAAAUUAUACAAAAAAAAAGAAAACGAAGAAGACAAUAUAAUAAUAACUGCUUUGUCUCUCAAAAUAGCAGCUGUUGUUUAUAUAAUAAAUACAAAUAUAAUUAUUGCCAAUCAUUAUGUGUCCAUAAUAAGAGUUUUUCUUCACAUCCAUGACAGUUGGGACAAAAGCAUAUUCAUUCCAUAUUAAACGUUUCGGAAGGCAAGAGUUGAAAUAAAUUUUUCGAAUUUCUUGCUGAAAACUAUUCUUAGUUUACAUUUUAUAGCACACAAAUAUAUUUUUAUAAUUAUUGAAUUAUGGUGCCCCAGCAAUUGAUUGCGAUAUUUCUCGUAGUGGGACUUUUCAUUAGUAUUUCAAUAGACACGACACGAGCUCAAUCAUCUUUAAGCAAAAAUAAGGCAAUUGCGAGUACAUCUAGUUAUGGCGUUAGAGGGUUCUCUAUGAGUUGCCCAACAACUAAGUCAUCAAGGAGGAAAACUAGGAAACAGAGAAGGAAAUUACUUAGAAGAAGACUACUAAAGAAGUUUUUGCGUGCCACAAAAGUUAUUAUUACCAAGGCUUAAACAGUGAAUUAAAUUAAUGAGUUUAUAAAAAUAUAAAAGGACUGCUACUAGAAUAAAUACAUAAAAUAAAUAUGUAUGUAUAUAAAUAAAGUACAAAA